rnacentral:rRNA from 1 species
AUUGAACGCUGGCGGAAUGCUUUACACAUGCAAGUCGAACGGUAGAGGGGGCAACCCCUUGAGAGUGGCGAACGGGUGAGUAAUAUAUCGGAACGUGCCCAGUCGUGGGGAUAACGUAGCGAAAGUUACGCUAAUACCGCAUACGAUCUAAGGAUGAAAGCGGGGGAUCGCAAGACCUCGCGCGAUUGGAGCGGCCGAUAUCAGAUUAGGUAGUUGGUGGGGUAAAGGCUCACCAAGCCAACGAUCUGUAGCUGGUCUGAAAGGACGACCAGCCACACUGGAACUGAGACACGGUCCAGACUCCUACGGGAGGCAGCAGUGGGGGAAUUUUGGACAAUGGACGCAAGUCUGAUCCAGCCAUUCCGCGUGCAGGAUGAAGGCCCUCGGGUUGUAAACUGCUUUUGUACGGAACGAAAAGGUUUCUCUUAAUACGAGGAGCUCAUGACCCCGGUAGUAACGAAUAAGCACCGGCUAACUACGUGCCAGCAGCCGCGGU